rnacentral:rRNA from 1 species
UAUCUCUGUAGAGUCUGCAUAUCAAUAAGCGGAGGAAAAGAAACUAACAAGGAUUCCCUUAGUAACGGCGAGCGAAGCGGGAAGAGCUCAAAUUUGAAAUCUUCAAGGUUCUACCUUGACGAAUUGUAGUUUAAAGAAGUGUUUUCUGUUAGAUGAGUAGCAAAAGUUCCUUGGAAUGGGACAUCAUAGAGGGUGAGAAUCCCGUAUUUGGCUAUUCAUUCUAGCUUUGUGAUACACUUUCAAAGAGUCGGAUUGUUUGGGAAUGCAGUCCAAAAUGGGUGGUAAAUUUCAUCUAAAGCUAAAUAUUGGCGAGAGACCGAUAGCGAACAAGUACCGUGAGGGAAAGAUGAAAAGAACUUUGAAAAGAGAGUUAAACAGUACGUGAAAUUGUCAAAAGGGAAGCGUUUGACACCAGUGUUGUUUUUCCGAAAAUCAAUUACGAAUGGCUUGAUUUUGUGUUGUAUUGACCUUAUCAGCUUUCUUCACUUUUUUCGAGUCUUUCUUAAUGCACUUUUCGGUUAACAAGUCAACAUCAAUUUCUUUUGUUGUAAAAGAGUAUUCGGAAGGUGGCUUUCUUUUCGGAGAAAGUGUUUAUAGCCCUAUACUUCUACAAUCGGAGAGAUUGAGGUCUGCAGCGUAGAUCCUUCGGGGUUAGAUACACUUGUGCUAAGUUGUAGCUUUUCAUAGACAACUUGUUGACUAUGUUUAGUCAUGCGGCUUACUCGCUUGUGCUAUUUUACCUACGCUUAGGAUGUUGACUGAUAUGUAGUCGU